AGUGGCGGACGGGUGAGUAACGCGUGGGUAACCUACCUCAUACAGGGGGAUAACAGUUGGAAACGACCGCUAAUACCGCAUAACCCGCUAGUAUCGCAUGAUACAGACGGAAAAGAUUUAUCGGUAUGAGAUGGACCCGCGUCUGAUUAGCCAGUUGGCAGGGUAACGGCCUACCAAAGCAACGAUCAGUAGCCGGCCUGAGAGGGUGAACGGCCACAUUGGGACUGAGACACGGCCCAAACUCCUACGGAAGGCAGCAG
rnacentral:rRNA from 1 species